ACAACAUCUGGAAACGGAUGCUAAUACCGGAUAUUAUGGUUUUUUCGCAUGGAGGAAUCAUGAAAGCUAGAUGCGCUAAGAGAGAGCUUUGCGUCCCAUUAGCUCGUUGGUGAGGUAACGGCCCACCAAGGCAAUGAUGGGUAGCCGGCCUGAGAGGGUGAACGGCCACAAGGGGACUGAGACACGGCCCUUACUCCUACGGGAGGCAGCAGUGGGGAAUAUUGGACAAUGGACCACAAGUCUGAUCCAGCAAUUCUGUGUGCACGAUGACGUUUUUCGGAAUGUAAAGUGCUUUCAGUCGGGAAGAAGUCAGUGACGGUACCGACAGAAGAAGCGACGGCUAAAUACGUGCCAGCAGCCGCGGUAAUACGUAUGUCGCAAGCGUUAUCCGGAUUUAUUGGGCGUAAAGCGCGUCUAGGCGGCAAGGAAAGUCUGAUGUGAAAAUGCGGAGCUCAACUCCGUAUGGCGUUGGAAACUGCCUUACUAGAGUACUGGAGAGGUAGGCGGAACUACAAGUGUAGAGGUGAAAUUCGUAGAUAUUUGUAGGAAUGCCGAUGGGGAAGCCAGCCUACUGGACAGAUACUGACGCUAAAGCGCGAAAGCGUGGGUAGCAAACAGGAUUAGAUACCCUGGUAGUCCACGCUGUAAACGAUGAUUACUAGGUGUUGGGGGUCAAACCUCAGCGCCCAAGCUAACGCGAUAAGUAAUCCGCCUGGGGAGUACGUACGCAAGUAUGAAACUCAAAGGAAUUGACGGGGACC
rnacentral:rRNA from 1 species